CCAAAAAAGCAUGGGAAAUAAAAAUAGCGGAGAGGGAUCUGAUAAAAAGCUUUCCAGGGCGAAGAAACCACUCAUCAUGUUCCUUCGCUCCCUUGCAAAGAAGACACUUGAAUAGGAUGUGGAGGCGCGGAAAAGGAGGGACACAUGGAUAGUUUCAGGAAAAUUUAGUUUCAAAGUGCUAAUGCUUGACCGUUAUGGUAAAAUUCUUAGUGACAGCAUCAUAUAGGGAUGUGUUGUCAAUUAUGGAUUUUGAGCUAUAUUUUACAGGAAGUGGUGCUUUGUAGUGCCAGGUAACUAAUUUCCCAUGAACAUUUAAUUUUUGCUGAUCUAAACCAUGUGAAAAUAAGUUCAUAUAAAAC